rnacentral:rRNA from 1 species
UACGUAGGGUGCGAGCGUUAAUCGGAAUUACUGGGCGUAAAGCGCGCGCAGGCGGUUAUGUAAGACAGAGGUGAAAUCCCCGGGCUCAACCUGGGAACUGCCUUUGAUACUGCCUUGCUGGAGUGCGGGAGAGGGGGGUGGAAUUCCUCGUGUAGAGGUGAAAUUCGUAGAUAUGAGGAAGAACACCGGUGGCGAAGGCGAUUCCCUGGCCCUGUACUGACGCUCAGGCGCGAAAGCGUGGGGAGCAAACAGG